rnacentral:rRNA from 1 species
CCUACGGGGGGCUGCAGUGAGGAAUAUUGGUCAAUGGGAGAGAUCCUGAACCAGCCAAGCCGCGUGAAGGAAGACGGCCCUAUGGGUUGUAAACUUCUUUUGUCGGAGAACAAAACCCGGCACGUGUCCCGGUCUGCGUGUAUCUGAUGAAUAAGCAUCGGCUAACUCCGUGCCAGCAGCCGCGGUAAUACGGAGGAUGCAAGCGUUACCCGGAAUUAUUGGGCGUAAAGAGUGCGCAGACGGGCUUGUAAGUCAGAUGUGAAAUCCUGUAGCUUAACUGUAGAACUGCAUUUGAUACUGUGAGCCUAGAGUGUAGGAGAGGUAGGUGGAAUUCGUGGUGUAGGGGUGAAAUGCUUAGAUAUCAAGAGGAAUACUGAUUGCGAAGGCGGCCUACUGAAACACUACUGACGUUCAUGCACGAAAGCGUGGGGAGCAAACAGGAUUAGAUACCCGUAUAGUC